rnacentral:snRNA from 1 species
GGAUGUGAGGGCGACCUGGCUGCGACAUCUGUCACCCCAUUGAUCGCCAGGGUUGAUUUGGCUAAUCUGGCUGGUUAGGCGGGUGUCCCCUUCCUCCCUCAACGCUCCAUGUGCGUCCCUCCCGAAGCUGCACGCUCGGUCGAAGAGAACAACCACCCCGAUAGAGGAGGACCGUUCCUGGGUCAAGGGUAUACGAUUAGCUGCGCUCCCCUGCUAGAACCUCCAAACAAGCUCUCAAGAUCAUGUGUGUAAUUUUUCCUACUGAAACAUUUCCUGUGUUGCUUAAAUGUCAUCAGUUCAGAGGUACACAAUCAAUUUAAUAAUUACUUUUGGGAAGUAAGAAGGAAACAUUUU